GAAGCAGACAACAUCAACAAUGUUCAAAGUAUUAAUCCAAACAACACAAAUAAUCCUCAUCCAAGCAAUUACAAGAAAAACACUAAUGAUACCUCAUUUACAUAUACCCAGCAAAUUUUUAUCAGUCAACAGAUAUUCAAUGAUGCACCCACAUAUGAAAUUACAAGUAAUUGACAAUUGAAAAUAAUGUAUUCAGCAAAAUCAUUUAAAAUUUCAAUACAAAUAUCAAAAACCACAUAAAACAAACCAUAAACACAAUUAUGACUAUAUCAGUAAUUCAUCAUAUUGGAUAAUCACAAAAACAGUUACUCUAGAAUAGCAAUAACAAUAUGAAUGACAACACAAUUCCAAAACCAAUCUAAACAUUCCAACCUACCAAAAACAGUAUUAUUUCAUCAACGAAUUUCCAACUGCAAAAGCAAAUCAACAUAGUUAAUUACUCAACAUUACCAAAGUACCAUCAAAUGCAAUAAUAACACCACAACUCAGUCAAGUGAUACUAAUAUCAAAAAGGUAAUAACCAACAAAGGGAAUAUGCAUGUUAAUAUCAAUAAAACAUACAAUAUUUCAAUAAUGAUAAACCAUUCACAUAAUAGAAAAUAUACAACAGAAUACAAUCUCUAAUUUCAAUUAUAAACAAACUCCAGCUCAUUUAUCAGAAGAAAGCAAAAUGUAUAUAAAGUUAUAGUAUUACAAGACUCUCAGUAAACAAUUCUCAAAAAAUCCAGUCAAAAGACAUCAACUUUACAAUAUUUUAAAAAAUAUACCUAUUAUACCGAAUAAAUAUAUAAUACAGCAACCCUCCACUUAAAAAAUGAUUAUCAACCAUUAUUUAUAAAUUACAAAUUUUUAUUUACCGAAUUACAUAAAUACAGAAAUUAAUACAAUUAAACAAGUCAAUAUAAAUGACAAAUUCCACAAUAUACAGUCCGCAAAUCUCCCAAAUCCAAUAUAAAAAACAGCUAACUACACCAUAUUGACACAAUAAAGAAAUAAAUUACCUUGUGCAGAAAACAUAUAUGUAUAUACCCAAAAUCAUCGAUUCUAUAAGAACAUUCCACAGUUCUACUCAAACCUACAAGGAUAAACUGUUUUCAGAAAUUUCACGAAAAAGCUUUUUCUUAUAAGUUUCAACAGAAACAUCAAAGUUUUCGAUAAUUUAUUGUAUACACGUGCCACUCUAACACAAAAUGAUCGCUCUAAUAUUGAAGUCAACUUUGGUAUUUUCAACUGUCUAUUUCUGUUAGAUUUGCAAAACUCAAACAAACUAACCAAAUAUUCCGGAGCACGCAGUUUACAUAACUUGAAAAAGUGCAAUAAAUUUCUAUACUUAAUAUAAUCCAUAAAAGAUAAUCCAAGAAACUUUAUAACAUAAACUGACACAUGCUGCCUCAUUCCAAUAGAAUAUAGGUAUCUCACAACUCUAUUAAAUGUCAAUCCUAACCUUUUUAUCACAUAACCAAAGGUACCUGAAUAUACCUCCAAGGCAUAUAGAAAUAUUGGCAUUACAAGUCCAUGAACUACUCUUUUCUUAAUGUGAAAAGGCAACAUCAAAUCCAGACUGUACAAUUUUCGUAAGAAAGAUCAUUAUCCUGAACCCAACUAAAUAAUAAAUCGGCAGUAUGAUCAAUAACACUUUGUAAAACAUCAGGAAAUUCUACAUCACCUCUAAACAAAAGUUGAACAUCAUCAGCAAAUGAAAAUGGAAGACAUAUAUUACUAGAAAUUCUACUGAAUAGAUCAUUCAUAAACAUUAUGAAAAGCAAAGGUCCCAGUACUGAUCCCUGAGGAACUCCACUGUAAACAGGAAGCAGUCCAGAAACACGACCACCACUACAUACAUAUUGUCGCCUAUCUGAUAAAUAAGUCUACAUGCUGAGCCAGAGAAACCGUAAUACCUAUGCAAUUUUUCUACUAAAAUUGAAUGAUUGACCCUAUCAAAUGCCUUGGAUAAAUCUAAUGAUAAUAAGACACAAUUACCCCUAUUAGAUACACAUCUUCUAAUAUUAUCAGUAAGACCUAGAAGCAAAGAAGUGGUGUUCCUAUUACAUCUGAAGCCAGUCUGACAAUCAUGAAGCAACCGACCAUCAUCAAUAUGCUUUACCAGUUGAAUCUUAAUCAGAUGCUCAACCAUCUUUG